UGAUCGAUAUUCAAUGUGGCUUUUGGCAUUCUCUGUCACUCUAGCUAGGUCCUUGGAUGAGCCACACUAUUGACAUGGGUUUAGGAUAUAAUGCACAUGGGUUAGUUCAUCUCUUUUUCUUUUGCACCCAGACCCGUGGAUCCAGUUGCUUUUGCAAGGGAAAGAGAUAUGCCUUCUGAUUCAGAUAGGACCUUAAAUGAAGACA